CCCAGCGGAGGCGAGCGUUAUCCGGGGUCAUUUGGCGUAAAGGGUACGUAGGCGGCUAGUCAAGUCUGAGGUUAAAGACCACAGCUGAACUGUGGGAAGGCCUUGGAAACUGACUGGCUAGAGUGGGGCAGGGGUUGCGGGAAUUCCCGGUGUAGCGGUGAAAUGCGUAGAUAUCGGGAAGAAAACAGGAGGAGAAAGCGCGCAACUGGGCAAGCCCUCACGCUGGGGUACGAAAGCUCGGGGAGAGGAGGGG
rnacentral:rRNA from 1 species